CUGGCUCACGAUGAAGUAAUACGGCGUGCCUAAUACAUGCAAGUCGAGCGAUGAGGCUCCUUCGGGAGUCAUCAGCGGCGAACGGGUGAGUAACACGUGGGUGACUUGCCCCGAAGAUGGGGAUAACCUCUGGAAACGGGGGCUAAUACCCAAUGUGCUCGGUGAUUCGGUUCAUCGAGUAAAGCUCCGGCGCUUCGGGAGAGGCCUGCGGCCCAUCAGCUAGUUGGUAGGGUAACGGCUUACCAAGGCUGGGAUGGGUAGCCGGGCUGAGAGGUUGUUCGGCCACACUGGGACUGAGACACUGCCCAGACUCCUUCGGGAGGCUGCAGUCGAGAAUCUCCCGCAAUGCGCGAAAGCGUGACGGAGCGACGCCGCGUGGAUGAUGAAGGCCUUCGGGUUGUAAAGUCCACUCUCGUGGGAAGAAACAGGAGAGGUUAACACCCUGCUUCUGCGACGUUACCACGGUCGAAGUGCCGGCUAAACACGUGCCAGCAGCCGCGGUAAUACGUGUGGCGCAAGCGUUGUUCGGAAUCACUGGGCAUAAAGAGCGCGUAGGCGGUAGUGUAUGUCGGAUGUGAAAGCCCUUGGCUCAACCAAGGAAUUGCAUUCGAAACUGCAUUACUAGAGUAUGGAAGGGGGGAGUGGAAUUCCUGGUGGAGCGGUGAAAUGCGUAGAUAUCAGGAAGAACACCGGUGGCGAAGGCGACUCUCUGGUCCAUAACUGACGCUGAGGCGCGAAAGCUAGGGGAGCGAACAGGAUUAGAUACCCUGGUAGUCCUAGCUGUAAACGAUGGGCACUAGGUAGUGGGGGUUCCGACACUCUCACUGCUGGAGCAAAUGUAUUAAGUGCCCCGCCUGGGGAGUA
rnacentral:rRNA from 1 species